rnacentral:rRNA from 1 species
ACGGAAGGCAGCAGUGGGGGAUAUUGCACAAUGGGGGAAACCCUGAUGCAGCGACGCCGCGUGAGUGAAGAAGUAUUUCGGUAUGUAAAGCUCUAUCAGCAGGGAAGAAAAUGACGGUACCUGACCAAGAAGCUCCGGCUAAAUACGUGCCAGCAGCCGCGGUAAUACGUAUGGAGCAAGCGUUAUCCGGAUUUACUGGGUGUAAAGGGAGCGUAGACGGCGAGGCAAGUCUGAUGUGAAAGCCAUGGGCUCAACCCAUGAACUGCAUUGGAAACUGUCUUGCUAGAGUGUCGGAGAGGUAAGCGGAAUUCCUAGUGUAGCGGUGAAAUGCGUAGAUAUUAGGAGGAACACCAGUGGCGAAGGCGGCUUACUGGACGAUAACUGACGUUGAGGCUCGAAAGCGUGGGGAGCAAACAGGAUUAGAUACCCUGGUA